ACCGGGCGGGCGGCCCUCCGAGUGUGGCCGAGUCGGGACCCUGUUCCCCGUCCCCACUGCGGGGUCCCGCCCGGGCGAGGGAAGCGGAGGGGCAGGGCCUCGGGGGCGCGUGCCGAGUGCGGGCCUGCGCUCCGGCGUCCGCCUCCGAGUUCGGAGCCGGGCCGGUGGUGGUUCCUCCCGGAUCUUCCGAGAAAUCGGGGAAACGCACCUGCAGCCGCUCCCCGUCCGGACCUCACAGUAACUCGCCCUUAGGAAAGGCCUCCGUGUGCGUGUCUGUUUGGAGGGACGGACCAUUCUUUGUCUCUGAUCCUUUGUCCCCAUCCUCCUGUGAUAGGCCUUACAGUGGUGGAGGUCUCUGAUCCUUUGUCCCCAUCCACCUGUGAUAAGCCUUAGAGUGGUGGAGGUCUCUGAUCCUUUGUCCCAUCUACCUGUGAUAGGCCUUAGAGUGGUGGAGGUCUCUGAUCCUUUGUCCCCAUUCUCCUGUGAUAAGCCUUAGAGUGGUGGAGGUCUCUGAUCCUUUGUCCCCAUCCACCUGUGAUAAGUCUUAGGGUGAUGGAGGUCUCUGAUCCUUUGUCCCCAUCCUCCUGUGAUAAGCCUUAGGGUGAUGGAGGUCUCUGAUCCUUUGUCCCCAUCCUCCUGUGAUAAGCCUUAGGGUGAUGGAGGUCUCUGAUCCUUUGUCCCCAUCCUCCUGUGAUAGGCCUUAGAGUGGUGGAAGUCUCUGAUCCUUUGUCCCCAUCCUCCUGUCCUAGUCAUAGAGUGAUGGAGGAGCAAAUAAGCUCUGGGUUUGGGGUGCUCUGUCAGCUUCCUGCUGAGUGGGCCGUUCCCCAGGCCCGGGGAGGCGGGGGCCGCUCCACAAAGAACAGUGGGAUCCUGAAGCAGGAGGAGGGAGAAGCCUCCUGGUCUUUAUGGAAGAAACGAGCUGGUGGGUCAGGGCUUCGCUGGGAGGACUCCGGAUCCUCAGGGUCCCCUAGCUCCACAGGACGUCUCCACCGCCUCUUAAAGCCUCCUUGGAGAUUCAGGAAAUUGUCCGUGGUCUGACAGUCACACUGAACCCUCGAGCUGGCCUUGCUACUGGACUUAGGACUUUUACGAAAAGGAAUUAAGACAAAUCUCCCUUAAAUUUAAUUUUGUGUUCUCACAACGUGAAAGAGCUGUUGGAAAUGAAUUUCGGUCUGUUGGAAAUGCAUUGAGAUUUGGGAUCUAAAAGGUUAAGGACCAUUUUGAAGGCCUGGUUGUAGUUGUCAUUGUUCUGUACGAGGUGAGACCCUAGGAAAGGAGCAACCAUCGGGUAGGAAAAAGCUGUUUGAGACCCGUGCGUGGAUCGACCUGAAGGAGUUAUUACAGCCUCCCAGGAGAAUUCCUUGAUUCACGUUAAUGUCUGUGCCUCCCUUGGGUAGCAAGGAGGAAGAGUGAGAAAGGGACCCAUCACAUUCAGGUUACUACUUGAAUAAAGUCGAGGGUCCCGUGCCUUCUCUGAAUGAUACCCAACCUUCUCGUGCCCCAAAUGCAUGUCUGGCACCUUCCUAUGAGAGGUGGACCUUGGCUCUUGUUUAAACCAUGCAACAACAGCCCCACUUUGGUGCUAAUCCCUUCAGCCCUAGACACUGUCAUGGUCCCAUCCAGCAAAGUCAGUUAGAAACUCCUUGAGGUCUUUUUAAAGUUCUAGUCUCUCGUUUCAUGUUUUUUGAGUCUUGAAAUAAAAAAUUAAGCAGAAGUGCAGAAUUUUGUGUUUGCUCUAGGCCACUGAUGGGAAUACUUUACUGGUAAGGUGCUGUGGGCGUGCGUGCUGGGAGACACAGAAGGGCCUCGGUACCGUGGUCUAGGAGGACGGCGCAGGACGCACAGCUUGCCAGCUGUAGGAUGUGGUGGACAGGGUUGGAUCAAGUCUGAAGCUGAAUGCGGUGCUUUGGACCCUUUGGAGGCCGUUUGUGUUUUUAAAUAGCCUGAUUCCUUAUGUUUAUUUAAAACUAUAGAAAUUCACCUCCUUCAGUAACCUAUUUUUAGAUGGAGGAUGGUGACCCAUUUCUCAGAUACUGUACCUUGCUGCUCUCCUUUCCUCUUCUUGUGGCCUUCAACAAGUUAUUUUUGCCCUUGGGUCCAGAGCGCCUCCUGUCUGUUACGCUGUCUGAAUCUCGGGGGUUUCAUUAACGUGGUCAGGCGUUUCUUCUCCACUAGCCAUUGCCUGUCUUUACGUGCGAAUCCAGCACCUGGCUUCCCAGCCAGCAUUUAGCCAUCUGACUGAUGAAACUGCCGGGACGUUGCCCCUGCUGUUAGAACCCCCUGCAGGCCGAGGGUCAUAUCAAGCAUUUUAUGAACACAGUAAUUAAAAAGACUGGAAAGGUUAUGAACUGCCAAAGAUCUCGUCCGUCAAAGUCUGAUGUUCUCUACUCAGCUUCUUCAACUCGCUUUCGUUUGACGUAUGUAUAGCGUAAGCACUGUCACCUGCGAAGGGAGCCCCUCCAGGAUCCAGACGCACUCCUGGGCAUGUGGCGGGCACUGAGCCGAGGGGAAGGCGGCCACGCUCGGAAAAA